rnacentral:lncRNA from 1 species
AGUACAGAUCUCCGAAGAAUCCUAUUCACGGAUCAUCUUAGAGCAGAUCCCCUAGAAGCGGAGCCUGACGUGGGGAUUCUUGUGCUAAUGAUUUAUUGAGGAAGCACUCCCAGGAAAAGGGAAGCUGGUUAAGCAGCAGGGGGAGCUAACCAAGAACGUGGUUGAAACAGAUAUCUGCUCAGUCUGAUCCCAUGGGCAACUCUGGAACAUGAAUUUCACCAGAGUCGGUCCUGUCUGGAGGGAAGGGAGCCAAGUUUUUGUAAACCUCUCUACUAGUCACUCAUUGGCUGAGGACUGUGGGUGGUGGGGUGAGGAUGAGAGUCUAACCUCCUGGGCUAAGUGGUUCCAGGUGGCUGAGCAUAGCUUUUCAGAAAAAGGGACAGCUGUGAGCCAUAAGCAGCCAACCCCAACACAGCUGGGGGAUGGGCAAACCCAGGUAAAAGGGAUCUGAAUGGGGCACCAACAGCAUCUACUACAUGGAUGUUUUUUGCAUCUCUGUUCAUGUCCCUGGAUUUCUGUAUCCUUCCCUGCCUCAAGUGUGAACUUCCUUCUCUAUCCUUUGGCCUCACACAACUAUAGUCCUGGAUCAUCCAGCUUCCUAGUCCUCACUCAGACUAGAAGCCCCCAGGUAAAUAGUUGUAUAUUCUUCGUUGUGGGUCCUUCUGGUUGUGGCAUGUGGGACGCUGCCUCAGCAUGGUUUGGUGAGCAGUGCCAUGUCCGUGCCCAAGAUUCGAACCAACGAAACACUGGGCCGCCUGCUGCGGAGCACGCGAACUUAACCACUUGGCCACGGGGCCAGCCCCGGGAUGAAUUUCUUUAACAUAUUAAAGAACUUCAGAGUUAAUCUCAAAUUCCUGCUUCAAUGAUCUGUGUCGUGUCUUUGCCACACAAAGACGGACAGAUACUAUCAUUUCCAUUGUGGAGUCUUAAUGAAACUGUGGCAGAAACGCAGGCAAGACACCAAAACCACCACUGAAGUAGCCCUAUGUGUCUUAUUUUAAUCAAGGACAAGGUGAUAUUGAAAAAACUUCCUGAGUUAAAUAGUUGAUGGUAGGGCCACCCCUAUCAGAUACUGGCCCUUUGUGUGACUUAAAACAGAGCACCUAUUCAGGUUUAUGAAAUACUGAAAAGUGUCCCCUCUAGGUGGACAACUUACAAAGAAGUCGUUCUUUCUUCCUGACCGGGAGGCCUGUGAGGAGGCAUAAGAGUUGGUUAGUGAAGUGCAGCAGGUUUCAACCCUCACUCACACCUUUCACCUGAGACCUUUGCAGAGAGCACAACUUGCAUGUCAGUAUAUGGUGGCCCUGGUUGUAGGAGUCUGAUCAUCGUGACUUGACUGGUUUUCCAUUCUUUGAUAUGACCUCUCAUGUUUGUCAAAAGACAUCAAUCCUACAAAAUUGAUGAGGGGUGCCAUGUCUCAAGAUGUGCCUCAACCAUCUCCAUAAUCUAGACAUUGAUGAGUGCUUCCAAGACAAAGAGGCCCAAAAGGAUGUAUUCUGGAUAGCCUCUCUGUCUGUAUUCUUCUUUCAUUCUUAUCACAUGAGAAGACUUGCCUUGGAACUUUGGCACUGAACCAAGGGGCCCCUGCCAUUUUAACUGAGGUUCUAGGAUCACUUGCUUGUGUAGGAGGUCUAAGGUGGCAUUACUAUGCUAAUCUGUGUAAAUCUUUCCGCCUGGGGAUUUUACAAUAGUCAACCCAUUAGCACAACAUCCGUUAGAAACAUCUGACAUUGAAUUCUGUUUCUAAAAUUCCUGGAAACUUAUCACUGGAAAAAAAAAACCCAACAACUGAUGAUUCUUCCCCGACAUUGAAAUCAUUGCAGUGUAAUCAGUUAAUGUGUUUACUUCCAAUGUUAUAGUGGAGAAAGCCUGGAAGAAAG